GACGAACGCUGGCGGCGUGCCUAAUACAUGCAAGUAGAACGCUGAGGUUUGGUGUUUACACUAGAACUGAUGAGUUGCGAACGGGUGAGUAACGCGUAGGUAACCUGCCUCAUAGCGGGGGAUAACUAUUGGAAACGAUAGCUAAUACCGCAUAAGAGUAAUUAACACAUGUUAGUUAUUUAAAAGGAGCAAUUGCUUCACUGUGAGAUGGACCUGCGUUGUAUUAGCUAGUUGGUGAGGUAAAGGCUCACCAAGGCGACGAUACAUAGCCGACCUGAGAGGGUGAUCGGCCACACUGGGACUGAGACACGGUCCAGACUCCUACGGGAGGCAGCAGUGAGGAAUAUUGGUCAAUGGGCGGAAGCCUGAACCAGCCAAGUAGCGUGCAGGACGACGGCCCUACGGGUUGUAAACUGCUUUUAUGCGGGGAUAAAGUUGCCCACGCGUGGGUUUUUGCAGGUACCGCAUGAAUAAGGACCGGCUAAUUCCGUGCCAGCAGCCGCGGUAAUACGGAAGGUCCGGGCGUUAUCCGGAUUUAUUGGGUUUAAAGGGAGCGCAGGCCGCCGUGCAAGCGUGCCGUGAAAAGCAGCGGCCCAACCGCUGCCCUGCGGCGCGAACUGCUUGGCUUGAGUGCGCCGGAAGCGGGCGGAAUUCGUGGUGUAGCGGUGAAAUGCUUAGAUAUCACGAAGAACCCCGAUUGCGAAGGCAGCCCGCUGUGGCGCCACUGACGCUGAGGCUCGAAGGUGCGGGUAUCGAACAGG
rnacentral:rRNA from 1 species